UUGGUUCCGGUUCACGCCCCAUCCCAGGUCAUGGAGGGCGACCCGGCGGCC
rnacentral:ncRNA from 1 species